rnacentral:rRNA from 1 species
UACGUAGGGGGGCAAGCGUUGUCCGGAUUUAUUGGGCGUAAAGAGCGUGUAGGCGGCCUGACAGGUCUGCUGUGAAAACUCGAGGCUCAACCUCGAGAUGUCGGCGGAAACCGUCUGGCUAGAGUCCGGAAGAGGAGAGUGGAAUUCCCCGGUGUAGCGGUGAAAUGCGUAGAUGAUCGGGAGGAACACCUGUGGCGAAAGCGGCUCACUGGACCACAACUGACGCUGAGGCGCGAAAGCUAGGGGAGCAAACAGG